GAAAUGCGAUAAGUAAUAUGAAUUGCAGAUUUUCGUGAAUCAUCGAAUCUUUGAACGCACAUUGCGCCCUCUGAUAUUCCAGAGGGCAUGCCUGUUUGAGCGUCAUUUCUCUCUCAAACCUUCGGGUUUGGUAUUGAGUGAUACUCUUAGUCGAACUAGGCGUUUGCUUGAAAUGUAUUGGCAUGAGUGGUACUGGAUAGUGCUAUAUGACUUUCAAUGUAUUAGGUUUAUCCAACUCGUUGAAUAGUUUAAUGGUAUAUUUCUCGGUAUUCUAGGCUCGGCCUUACAAUAUAACAAACAAGUUUGACCUCAAAUCAGGUAGGACUACCCGCUGAACUUAA
rnacentral:rRNA from 1 species